UGAUGGGCAGGUGAAAGUGGGCGGGGAGGAAAAAUUUGUACGGGCGGGUGAAAUGUCACCCGUCUUGAGACGCCAUCAAACGGGGUGAAAUUCCACCCGUUUAUCCAAAGAGGGAGCGGGUGAAAUUUCACCCGCUCGAAAUAUACCCAUCAAUGCUUUUCUGCUGCCGCGCUCGAAGUCCCUCCGCAACGCUCGACCUCCCUCCGCAGCGCUCGAAGUCCCUCCGCAACGCUCGACCUCCGCAACUCCUCCUCCCUCGUGCCUUCUCACUGCCAGGUCUCACCGUCGACCGUCGCAAGACCCUCAAGCGGCAGGCGUCGGAGGUUUUUCUGCCGGGUUUCACAGUCGACCGUCGCAACACCCUCAAGCGGCCGGCGUCGGACAUUUUUCUGCCGCAGAAAAUCACAUGCAUGAGUAUCUCCAGAACAAGUAUGGUGUGCAAGUAAGCAGGUCUCCACUCAUUGAAGAUGUCAUCGCAAAGCAAGAUAUAAAAGACACGAAGUUUGAAGAACGAAAGUGCAGCCAGAAAUGUUGGAUUACUUGUUUUGUGAUUACAUGUUUUCUUUGUUGGAUAUGUACUCAUUGAACUUUGUUUUUUCUUCUUAGUAGAAAGUACACCCUUUUGUGGAUUCGUACUCAUGUUACUUUUGUGGACAAUUUCUGUUUAAUGUUUUUGGGAACAAAUAUAUAACUUUUGCAGUUGUAGAUUAAGU